GGGGAUGGCAUGGUUUCGACAGGGACAUGUCUGGUAAGUAUAGCAGCCGUGUGGUGACGUAAUCACCAAACCACAAAUUAACUGGCAACAGUAAUUUAUCAUACUCCUUCGCUUAAUAGAUAAGCAGGAGCGCAACUUAGAGCGGGGCUCCAACACUCUAACGCGCGUCAUAAAAGGGGCUAGUCAUCGUGAUGUCUAUAAGCGGUGAUGAAGUAUUAUAGGCUCGCUCUCUUGUUGUUCGUAGAUAUCGACAAACAGAGUUAAAUCGUAAUAUCUUCUAAGCUGUAGAAGUAUUUAUGGGGCGGUUCUUGGACCGGAGUUCGACUCUCCGCAUCUCCACCA
rnacentral:tmRNA from 1 species